rnacentral:rRNA from 1 species
GCAGGCUGCAACUCGCCUGCAUGAAGUCGGAAUUGCUAGUAAUCGCGGAUCAGCAUGCCGCGGUGAAUACGUUCCCGGGCCUUGUACACACCGCCCGUCACACCAUGAGAGCCGGUAACACCCGAAGUCAGUAGUCUAACCGCAAGGGGGACGCUGCCGAAGGUGGGGCUGGUGAUUGGGGUGAAGUCGUAACAAGGUACC